GGGCGAGUGGUGGAAUUGGCAGACACGCCAGCCUUAGGAGCUGGUGCCGCAAGGUGUGAGAGUUCGAGUCUCUCCUCGCCCACCA
rnacentral:tRNA from 2 species